ACCCCGGUGGUGCAGAUGGUUAGCAUGUUUGGCUGCUAAUCAAAAGGUUGGAAGUUCAAGCCCACCCGGAGGCA
rnacentral:tRNA from 1 species